AAAAAGCAAAGAUGAAGUAGUAAUGGUGAACAUGGAAGUAUCAGAUAAACUGAACAAGUAUUUUGCAACAGUCUUCACUAUGGAAGACACUACUGAUAUGCUGGAAGUUUGAGAGCAUCAGGGGCCAGAAGUCUUUUAUAAAAAUCACAGAGAGGAGGGGUCCCAGAACAGAUCCCUGCGGAAUACCACAGGUCACCAACCUACGUGCAGAAUACGAACCACCUCCAGCAACCACCCUUCGCCUUCUGCGGGCAAGCCAAUUCUGGAUCCUCAAAGCAAGCCCAUCGAGUCUGCUCUGCCAUUCGAUCAGAGACUGCGGAGAGCUGAGACCACCGCCCAGCCUACCACGGAAACCAGCCUUCCCCCAGUGGACUCCGACUACACUCCUCACUGCAACCAGCAGAGCCGACAGCCCCACCCACCACCCCGGACAUUCUUCCUUCUCCCCCCACCCACCCACCCCACAAUCGGCAGAAGAUAUGAAAGUCUGAAGAUAAGCACCACCAGGGUCGAGGACAGUUUCUGCACCGUUGUUAAAAUACUUCGAAUGGACCUCUUGCCGGUGACUGGUGACCGCCUGACCUCGCAAUCUACGUCGUUGUGGCCCUUGUACCCUGUUGGCUACCCGCACUGC